AGUCAACUGACAUUAGAUACCCGGGUAGUCCCAGCCGUAAACUAUGCGCGUUAGGUGUAUCGGUGACCACGAGUUACCGAGGUGCCGAAGGGAAACCGUGAAACGUGCCGCCUGGGAAGUACGGUCGCAAGGCUGAAACUUAAAGGAAUUGGCGGGGAGCACCACAACGGGUGGAGCCUGCGGUUUAAUUGGACUCAACGCCGGGAAGCUCACCGGAUAAGACAGCGGAAUGAUUGCCGGGCUGAAGACUCUGCAUGACUAGCUG
rnacentral:rRNA from 1 species